rnacentral:lncRNA from 1 species
UGUCACCUAGUCCUCUCUGCUCUAAAAAGCUCUCAACCCAAACCCUAAUCUCCAAACACCAUCACUCAUCUAUGGCCAUCUCCGAUGACCUUCCACCACUUCUCAGGCCUCAAAUGGCCUCCCUCACGUCAUUCUUGUCAUCUCUAGGGCCCUCAAGGGACUGGGGCUAGUGGCUUGCGUCUAUGGCUCCUCUCUCACCUGUUUUAGGCCAUUCCGAUGUGAUUCUGAGUGAGAUCGUUCUAUGUUGACUAAGAUCUAUGAUUUCUAAGCCGGUUUCUUCACAUCUCUAUGGUUCUCUUUGAAAUCCUAAUUUCUUUUCUAAACCUCUUAGAUUUGUAUAGAUCUUAGAUGAUUUGGGUUUAUUUCAUGUGAGUUUUACAAUAGCCUUGAGAUUCUGUACAAUAAUCGAGUGAUUUUUAUCUUUUUCUAAGACUAGGAUUUUCAGAAUUUCUUUUUGAAAUUGUUUAAUGAUUUUGUGUUUAAUCUUCUGCUUCUCAUAUAUUUUUGACUAAUUUUAUUAGUCUGCAACAACCCUAACUCGCUUGUACCAAAAGCCCUAAUUUUUUAGAGUUCUUCAUUUGGUUUCUGAAUAUAGUACAUGUGAUUGUGUUCUUGCUUUGGGUUCUUGUGAUUUCC